UGAUGAUGGUAAGGGUAAUUUCUAAGAAUACCCUUUAAUCUCUCCCAAGCUUGGUAGAGAUUCUCUCGAUCUUUCUGUUUAAAACUCAAGAUUUCACUCCUCAAGUG